CGUAGGUGGCAAGCGUUGUCCGGAGUUACUGGGUGUAAAGGGCGUGUAGGCGGGAAGAUAAGUCAGAUGUGAAAUUCCAUGGCUCAACUGUGGCGCUGCAUCUGAAACUAUUUUUCUUGAGUGAUGGAGAGGAAAGUGGAAUUCCUAGUGUAGCGGUGAAAUGCGUAGAUAUUAGGAGGAACACCAGUGGCGAAGGCGACUUUCUGGACAUUAACUGACGCUGAGGCGCGAAAGCGUGGGGAGCAAACAGGAUUAGAUACCCUGGUAGUCCACGCUGUAAACGAUGGAUACUAGGUGUAGGAGGUAUCGACCCCUCCUGUGCCGCAGUUAACACAAUAAGUAUCCCACCUGGGGAGUACGGCCGCAAGGUUG
rnacentral:rRNA from 1 species